ACGAACGCUGGCGGCGUGCUUAACACAUGCAAGUCGAACGAAGAGCGAUGGAAGCUUGCUUCUAUCAAUCUUAGUGGCGAACGGGUGAGUAACGCGUAAUCAACCUGCCCUUCAGAGGGGGACAACAGUUGGAAACGACUGCUAAUACCGCAUACGAUCUAAUCUCGGCAUCGAGGAAAGAUGAAAGGUGGCCUCUAUUUAUAAGCUAUCACUGAAGGAGGGGAUUGCGUCUGAUUAGCUAGUUGGAGGGGUAACGGCCCACCAAGGCGAUGAUCAGUAGCCGGUCUGAGAGGAAGAACGGCCACAUUGGGACUGAGACACGGCCCAGACUCCUACGGGAGGCAGCAGUGGGGAAUCUUCCGCAAUGGACGAAAGUCUGACGGAGCAACGCCGCGUGAGUGAUGACGGCCUUCGGGUUGUAAAGCUCUGUUAAUCGGGACGAAAGGCCUUCUUGCGAACAGUUAGAAGGAUUGACGGUACCGGAAUAGAAAGCCACGGCUAACUACGUG
rnacentral:rRNA from 1 species